GUACACAAAAAUGCACAUGCUGUGAGCUCGAUGAGUAGGGCGGGACACGUGGUAUCCUGUCUGAAUAUGGGGGGACCAUCCUCCAAGGCUAAAUACUCCUGACUGACCGAUAGUGAACCAGUACCGUGAGGGAAAGGCGAAAAGAACCCCGGCGAGGGGAGUGAAAAAGAACCUGAAACCGUGUACGUACAAGCAGUGGGAGCACGCUUAGGCGUGUGACUGCGUACCUUUUGUAUAAUGGGUCAGCGACUUAUAUUCUGUAGCAAGGUUAACCGAAUAGGGGAGCCGAAGGGAAACCGAGUCUUAACUGGGCGUUAAGUUGCAGGGUAUAGACCCGAAACCCGGUGAUCUAGCCAUGGGCAGGUUGAAGGUUGGGUAACACUAACUGGAGGACCGAACCGACUAAUGUUGAAAAAUUAGCGGAUGACUUGUGGCUGGGGGUGAAAGGCCAAUCAAACCGGGAGAUAGCUGGUUCUCCCCGAAAGCUAUUUAGGUAGCGCCUCGUGAAUUCAUCUCCGGGGGUAGAGCACUGUUUCGGCAAGGGGGUCAUCCCGACUUACCAACCCGAUGCAAACUGCGAAUACCGGAGAAUGUUAUCACGGGAGACACACGGCGGGUGCUAACGUCCGUCGUGAAGAGGGAAACAACCCAGACCGCCAGCUAAGGUCCCAAAGUCAUGGUUAAGUGGGAAACGAUGUGGGAAGGCCCAGACAGCCAGGAUGUUGGCUUAGAAGCAGCCAUCAUUUAAAGAAAGCGUAAUAGCUCACUGGUCGAGUCGGCCUGCGCGGAAGAUGUAACGGGGCUAAACCAUGCACCGAAGCUGCGGCAGCGACACUAUGUGUUGUUGGGUAGGGGAGCGUUCUGUAAGCCUGUGAAGGUGUACUGUGAGGUAUGCUGGAGGUAUCAGAAGUGCGAAUGCUGACAUAAGUAACGAUAAAGCGGGUGAAAAGCCCGCUCGCCGGAAGACCAAGGGUUCCUGUCCAACGUUAAUCGGGGCAGGGUGAGUCGACCCCUAAGGCGAGGCCGAAAGGCGUAGUCGAUGGGAAACAGGUUAAUAUUCCUGUACUUGGUGUUACUGCGAAGGGGGGACGGAGAAGGCUAUGUUGGCCGGGCGACGGUUGUCCCGGUUUAAGCGUGUAGGCUGGUUUUCCAGGCAAAUCCGGAAAAUCAAGGCUGAGGCGUGAUGACGAGGCACUACGGUGCUGAAGCAACAAAUGCCCUGCUUCCAGGAAAAGCCUCUAAGCAUCAGGUAACAUCAAAUCGUACCCCAAACCGACACAGGUGGUCAGGUAGAGAAUACCAAGGCGCUUGAGAGAACUCGGGUGAAGGAACUAGGCAAAAUGGUGCCGUAACUUCGGGAGAAGGCACGCUGAUAUGUAGGUGAAGUCCCUCGCGGAUGGAGCUGAAAUCAGUCGAAGAUACCAGCUGGCUGCAACUGUUUAUUAAAAACACAGCACUGUGCAAACACGAAAGUGGACGUAUACGGUGUGACGCCUGCCCGGUGCCGGAAGGUUAAUUGAUGGGGUCAGCGCAAGCGAAGCUCUUGAUCGAAGCCCCGGUAAACGGCGGCCGUAACUAUAACGGUCCUAAGGUAGCGAAAUUCCUUGUCGGGUAAGUUCCGACCUGCACGAAUGGCGUAAUGAUGGCCAGGCUGUCUCCACCCGAGACUCAGUGAAAUUGAACUCGCUGUGAAGAUGCAGUGUACCCGCGGCAAGACGGAAAGACCCCGUGAACCUUUACUAUAGCUUGACACUGAACAUUGAGCCUUGAUGUGUAGGAUAGGUGGGAGGCUUUGAAGUGUGGACGCCAGUCUGCAUGGAGCCGACCUUGAAAUACCACCCUUUAAUGUUUGAUGUUCUAACGUUGACCCGUGAUCCGGGUUGCGGACAGUGUCUGGUGGGUAGUUUGACUGGGGCGGUCUCCUCCUAAAGAGUAACGGAGGAGCACGAAGGUUGGCUAAUCCUGGUCGGACAUCAGGAGGUUAGUGCAAUGGCAUAAGCCAGCUUGACUGCGAGCGUGACGGCGCGAGCAGGUGCGAAAGCAGGUCAUAGUGAUCCGGUGGUUCUGAAUGGAAGGGCCAUCGCUCAACGGAUAAAAGGUACUCCGGGGAUAACAGGCUGAUACCGCCCAAGAGUUCAUAUCGACGGCGGUGUUUGGCACCUCGAUGUCGGCUCAUCACAUCCUGGGGCUGAAGUAGGUCCCAAGGGUAUGGCUGUUCGCCAUUUAAAGUGGUACGCGAGCUGGGUUUAGAACGUCGUGAGACAGUUCGGUCCCUAUCUGCCGUGGGCGCUGGAGAACUGAGGGGGGCUGCUCCUAGUACGAGAGGACCGGAGUGGACGCAUCACUGGUGUUCGGGUUGUCAUGCCAAUGGCACUGCCCGGUAGCUAAAUGCGGAAGAGAUAAGUGCUGAAAGCAUCUAAGCACGAAACUUGCCCCGAGAUGAGUUCUCCCUGACUCCUUGAGAGUCCUGAAGGAACGUUGAAG
rnacentral:rRNA from 1 species